rnacentral:other from 1 species
UAAUUCCUGGAAUGUGCGUUGGCUCCUUGUAAUAAUACCCACAAUAACUAUUAGGGAGCGUCAAAAAAUGCGCCGGAGGAAUGUCAGGCCCCCGUUCUUUAAGAAUGCCAGGGGAAGACAAACUGUCCGGUCAGCGCUCCCACCUGUCGCGAGACGGGUGUUAGUUCCUGGGGCAGACGGCAUUUCGGGAUUUUU